rnacentral:rRNA from 1 species
GACGAACGCUGGCGGCAGGCCUAACACAUGCAAGUCGAACGAGUGGCGGACGGGUGAGUAAUGUCUGGGAAACUGCCUGAUGGAGGGGGAUAACUACUGGAAACGGUAGCUAAUACCGCAUACCAUCGGAUGUGCCCAGAUGGGAUUAGCUAGUAGGUGGGGUAAAGGCUCACCUAGGCGACGAUCCCUAGCUGGUCUGAGAGGAUGACCAGCAACACUGGAACUGAGACACGGUCCAGACGCCGACGGGAGGAAGCAGUGGGGAAUAUGGCACAAGGGGCGCAAGCUGGAUGCAGCCAUGCCGCGUGGAUGAAGAAGGCCUGCGGGUGGUAAAGUACUUUCAGCGGGGAGGCGUUACCCGAAGAAGAAGCACCGGAUAAAUACGUGCCAGCAGCCGCGGUAAUUC